CUGGCUGGUUAACGGCUCUGUCCGUUGCUUGGCCAAAAUCCCUCAACAACCUUCCACCUCCGGAGUGGGGGCUUGGGGUAAAAGAACCCACGGCGCCGAAGGCGUCAAGGAACACUGUGCCUAACAUGGGGAUGCAGUUGGCUUGCUAGCUGCCCCUUGUGUUGCAAUGCUAUUUAAUCCACACGACUCUCGGCAACGGAUAUCUCGGCUCUCGCAUCGAUGAAGAACGUAGCGAAAUGCGAUACCUGGUGUGAAUUGCAGAAUCCCGCGAACCAUCGAGUCUUUGAACGCAAGUUGCGCCCGAGGCCAUUUGGUUGAGGGCACGCCUGCCUGGGUGUCACGCCAAACACGCUCCCACCCCUCAUCGGGUAGUUGGAUGCGGCAUGUGGCCCCCCGUCUCGCAAGCGGCGGUGGACUAAAGAUUCGGCUGCCGGUGUAUCGUGUCGGACACAGCGCAUGGUGGGUGACCUCGCUUUACUAAUCGCAGUGCAUCCGACCCGUAGCCGAUGUGAUGGCCUUAAGGACCCUAUAAACGGAGCGCAUGACGCUUCGACC
rnacentral:rRNA from 1 species